AAUCUUGCGCAAUGGACGAAAGUCUGACGCAGCGACGCCGCGUGAGGGACGAAGGCCUUCGGGUCGUAAACCUCUGUCCUUGGGGACGAUAAUGACGGUACCCAAGGAGGAAGCCCCGGCUAACUACGUGCCAGCAGCCGCGGUAAUACGUAGGGGGCGAGCGUUGUCCGGAAUUAUUGGGCGUAAAGGGUGCGUAGGCGGCCUUUUAAGUCAGAUGUGAAAGCCCACGGCUUAACCGUGGGACUGCAUUUGAAACUGGAGGGCUUGAGUAUCGGAGAGGGUAGUGGAAUUCCCAGUGUAGCGGUGGAAUGCGUAGAUAUUGGGAGGAACACCAGUGGCGAAGGCGACUACCUGGACGAAAACUGACGCUGAGGCACGAAAGCUAGGGGAGCAAACA
rnacentral:rRNA from 1 species